rnacentral:misc_RNA from 1 species
GAUGAAGAACGCAGCGAAAUGCGAUAAGUAAUGUGAAUUGCAGAAUUCAGUGAAUCAUCGAAUCUUUGAACGCACAUUGCGCCCGCCAGUAUUCUGGCGGGCAUGCCUGUCUGAGCGUCAUUUCAACCCUCAUGCCCCUAGGGCGUGGUGUUGGGGAUCGGCCAAAGCCCGCGAGGAACGGCCGGCCCCUAAAUCUAGUGGCGGACCCGUCGUGGCCUCCUCUGCGAAGUAGUGAUAUUCCGCAUCGGAGAGCGAUGAGCCCCUGCCGUUAAACCCCCAACUUUCCAAGGUUGACCUCAGAUCAGGUAGGAAUACCCGCUGAACUUAAGCAUAUCAAUAAGCGGAGGA